rnacentral:rRNA from 1 species
GACGAACGCUGGCGGCGUGCUUAACACAUGCAAGUCGAGCGGUAAGGCCCUUUCGGGGUACGACGAGCGGCGAACGGGUGAGUAACACGUGGGUGACCUGCCCUUAGCUCUGGGAUAAGCCUGGGAAACUGGGUCUAAUACCGGAUAUGACUCCAUGACGCAUGUUGUGGGGUGGAAAGCCUUGUGCGGCUAGGGAUGGGCCCGCGGCCUAUCAGCUUGUUGGUGGGGUGAUGGCCUACCAAGGCGACGACGGGUAGCCGGCCUGAGAGGGCGACCGGCCACACUGGGACUGAGACACGGCCCAGACUCCUACGGGAGGCAGCAGUGGGGAAUCUUGCGCAAUGGGCGAAAGCCUGACGCAGCGACGCCGCGUGGGGAUGACGGCCUCGG